GGGGUGCCGUUGCGUUGUGGUUGGACGUGUGUUGACUAGCAGUUUUUUUCAUCUCCCAUGUGAUCUUGGACACUGAGUCAGGCUAGGCAGCUUUGGGCUGAUGUUAGCUGGUCAGGGUGCCGGCCCUGUGGGCACCAUGAGGCGAGGGACCAGCCUGCAGAGCCGGCGCAGUAAGGGGACAGGGGGGAACGGGACAGGGGCCGGAGUAGGAGACCGGGACCCCUCUCUGAGAGGCAGCCCCCAGGCCCCCCAGCGCCGGCCUACCUACGAUGCACAGCAGCAUUCCGUCCGCCCGCGCUCCUCCUCCACCACUGACAACACCACACCAAGUAGCCCUUCCCUUGGUUACCACCCUGGAUACGUGACGCCAGGCGACGUGGUGCUAUCGUCAGGAUACCAGUCCACGGAGGAGACAGAGAGGGAUUGAGGGUCGGGAACGACAAGGAAGAAGGGGGACCAUAUUCACGCAAGAACAAGAGAGAGAUAAUAAACAUGGUUUUGGCCAAUAAUGCUAUCAGGCUCAGAGAACUACAAGACAACAUUAUCGGUGACCAUGCCAUUUUCAAUAAUGUCCAUCAGGUCUCUCAGUCAACACUGGCACGCAUCCUGAAAAGGCAUCAGGUUCAAAUGAAACAACUUUAUCGAGUGCCUUUUGAGCGGAGUUCAGAGAGGGUCAAACGGCUGUGGCAUGAGUAUGUGGAGGGAGUUUUGCAGAUGGAUGCUGAGGAAAUCCUGCAUGAAUUCAUAUAUAUUGAUGAGGCAGGGUUCAACCUCACAAAAGCAAGAAGGAGAGACAGAAAUAUCAUUGGCCACAGAGCUAUAAUCAAUGUCCCAGGGCAACGUGGGGGUAACAUCACCCUUUGCGCUGCCAUUUCACAGCAUGGGGUUGUCCUCCGUCAUGCCAAAAUGAGCCCUUACAACACACCUCACAUUCUCGCAUUUUUGGACCGACUGCACCACAUCGUCACAGCAGGUAAUGAAAUGCACCAGAUGCAAUACACGGUCAUCUGGGACCAUGUCAUUCCACCGCUCUGCUUUGGUCCAGAACUGGUUUCAACACCAUCCAUAGUUGACAGUACUAUACCUUCCACCAUACUCUCCGUUUCUAAACCCUGUCGAAGAGUUGUUCUCUGCAUGGCGGUGGAAGGUUUACGAUCUCCAGCCCCGGGCUCAGGUACCCCUCAUUCAGGCCAUGGAGGACGCUUGUGACCAAGUCGACGCCGCAGCAGUGCAAGGAUGGAUUCGACAUUCAAGUCGGCUCUUCCCGCGUUGUCUUGCUUUUGACGAUAUUGCUUGUGAUGUUGAUGAAAUUCUCUGGCCAGAUCCAGCUAGGCGAAGAGAUAAUGUAUAGUAUGUUUACUGUAGUAUUUUCUGUACAAUAUUUCUUUCUUUUUUUCAGAUUAUUUUUUGUUUGUUAGUUACUGUAAUUGUAACCUGUACUGGAUACAGUAGUUUACGUUUGUCUGUUUGCUGAGCUAACAGUGUUAUGCACACCACUGUAGUAGCAUGAAAACUGGGACAUGUUUUGUUGUGGUUCUCCACGUUGACAUGUUGACUGAUUUGGGUAUAUGGA
ensembl:lncRNA